CACAGCCCUGGAAACAAGGGAAUGCUUCCAAGCAGGGUGAGGAAAACGGACAGCGCAGCUUCGUAUGAUACAGCAUGCAUUUGAAUAAACACCAUGAACAUAUUCCCAGACCUGGCCAGCUUGGGAGAGCAUUUCAUAAGGUUUCUAGACAAAGAUCCAGCAAAGAAAUCAGUGCACUGCACAAGGACGCCAGGCUCAGAGCACAGAUAAAGUUUACUCCAGUGAUAAAAUCUGCUCAUCACCUUGGCCACCUCCUUAUAUUUUCUAAGGUACCUGGUAGGCAGAAAUACAGUCCAGAACAAUGAGGACCCAGACCCGAUUGCCAUGUCUAAAAUCUGAACGUGACUUGGCCUCAUCUGGGUUUGAACGCUGGAAUAACAAAGCUCACGGGAUCUGGCCGGUGUCUGACAGCCAGAGCUUCUGGGUUUCCAACAGCCAACUUCAUUCUGAGAGAAGAAAAAAGAAUAAUAAAGUAUCAGGCUAAGGCUGA